AUUCUUAUAGUUUAUAUUUUAAAAAAUAUUACACUGAAAAUGUAAAGAAAUAAUAUUUAAGAAUA
rnacentral:tRNA from 1 species